rnacentral:rRNA from 1 species
GACGAACGCUGGCGGAGUGCUUAACACAUGCAAGUCGAACGAAGUGGCGAACGGGUGAGUAACGCGUAAUCAACCUGCCCUUCAGAGGGGAACAACAGUUGGAAACGAAGGCUAAUACCGCAUAGUGAAGGAGGGGAUUGCGUCUGAUGAGGUAGUUGGGGGGGUAACGGCCGAACAAGGCGAUGAUCAGUAGCCGGUCUGAGAGGAUUGACGGCUACAUGGGGACUGAGACACGGCCCAGAAUCCUACGGGAGGCAGCAGUGGGGAAUCUUCCGCAAUGGACGAAAGUCUGACGGAGCAACGCCGCGUGAGUGAUGAGGGCCUUCGGGUUGUAAAGCUCUGUUAAUCGGGACGCGGUACCGGAAUAGAAAGCCACGGCUAACUACGUGCCAGCAGCCGCGGUAAUUC